CAACAUGUAGAUAUGGUCUUUCAUAAAAGCAAGGAAAUAAAUCCAUUUUAUUGUUGAACAUUUAAUACUGUAAAAGCAUAUCAAAAAUUGAACGCAUAAGGAAUUGAAUAAAGAAAAAAAAUUAAUGUUGUGGAAAGACCAAAAAAACCUCGACAAAAAUCUACUCAAACUUAGAAUGAUGCAUGCAGAAGUAUUAUAAAUAGAGGUUAAUUUCUUGAGAAUUUAUAUGACAAUCAAAAGAUAAAAAUAAGAGAGAGAAAAUAGAACAAAGUUUAUAUUUAGGAUCUAAAAAUGGCAAAAUGGAGUGCGGUGGUAGUAGUGAUAAUGAUGUUGGUGACUGUUAUGGUGGUCACCGUAGAAUCAAACAAAGCAACCGGUUGGAUGCGUUGUUUCCGCAGAUGUUCUGUACCUUGUGAAGAUCAGGAUGGUAACUGUUUUGAAUGUUGUAAAAUCAAAUGUGGUGGUCCAAACCCUCCUCAUGGUCCAGGAGGACCGCCUUCUCAUAGUUUCCGACGAACUUCAUAUGGGAUGGCAUAUGUGGACGUUUGCAAAAAGAAAGAAUGAUAAGGGAUGUUUUCCGGAAGAAUUGUGAUCAUUUUAUUAUUAUUACUAUAAUAUAAAAAAAUUAAUUAGGAGAAUUCUACUUUAUCUCAUAUUUGAUACUCAUUUUCAAAUUUAAUUUUAAAUGAUAGCAACUUUUAUAAA